rnacentral:rRNA from 1 species
CUUGGCAGCCAUAGCGAUACGGUACCACCUGAUCCCAAGUUCCGAACUCAGAAGUGAAACGUAUUAGCGCCGAUGGUAGUGUGGGGUUUCCCCAUGAAAUAUGAAUCGUCGUUGUGA